AGAAUUUGAUCUUGGUUCAGAUUGAACGCUGGCGGCGUGGAUGAGGCAUGCAAGUCGAACGGAAUAAUGGCUUCGGCUAUUAUUUAGUGGCGGAAGGGUUAGUAAUACAUAGAUAAUUUGUUCUUAACUUGGGAAUAACGGUUGGAAACGGCCGCUAAUACCGAAUGUGGUGUGUUUAGGCAUCUAAAUUACAUUAAAGAAGGGGAUCUUCGGACCUUUCGGUUAAGAGAAAGUCUGUGGGAUAUCAGCUUGUUGGUGGGGUAAUGGCCUACCAAGGCUAUGACGUCUAGGCGGAUUGAGAGAUUGACCGCCAACACUGGGACUGAGACACUGCCCAGACUCCUACGGGAGGCUGCAGUCGAGAAUCUUUCGCAAUGGACGAAAGUCUGACGAAGCGACGCCGCGUGUGUGAUGAAGGCUCUAGGGUUGUAAAGCACUUUCGCCUGGGAAUAAGAGAGAUUGGCUAAUAUCCAAUUGAUUUGAGCGUACCAGGUAAAGAAGCACCGGCUAACUCCGUGCCAGCAGCUGCGGUAAUACGGAGGGUGCUAGCGUUAAUCGGAUUUAUUGGGCGUAAAGGGCGUGUAGGCGGAAAGGAAAGUUAGAUGUCAAAUCUUGAGGCUCAACCUCAAGUCGGCAUCUAAUACUAUCUUUCUAGAGGUUGGAUGGAGAAAAGGGAAUUCCACGUGUAGCGGUGAAAUGCGUAGAUAUGUGGAAGAACACCAGUGGCGAAGGCGCUUUUCUAA
rnacentral:rRNA from 1 species